rnacentral:lncRNA from 1 species
CUGUGCGGGAAAGCGGCAGCUUUGCAAAUGUGAAAACGGGUAAGUUCCUAUUGUAGAGGGAGCAUUUGUUUUUACUCCGUGUAGCAGGC